rnacentral:rRNA from 1 species
GACGAACCUUGCUAACGUUAUUCGGAAUUACUGGGCGUAAAGGGUGUGCAGGCGGGCUGUUAAGUGGUGUAUGAAAUAUCCCGGCUCAACCGGGAGAGGUUAUGCCAGACUGGCAGUCUAGAGAGCGAGAGAGGGACGUGGAAUUCCGGGUGUAGUGGUGAAAUGCGUAGAGAUCCGGAGGAACCCCAGAGGCGAAGGCGGCGUCCUGGCUCGCAUCUGACGCUCAGACACGACAGCAUGGGGAGCGAACGGG